rnacentral:rRNA from 1 species
GAAUGCUGACAUAAGUAACGAUAAAGCGGGUGAAAAGCCCGCUCGCCGGAAGACCAAGGGUUCCUGUCCAACGUUAAUCGGGGCAGGGUGAGUCGACCCCUAAGGCGAGGCCGAAAGGCGUAGUCGAUGGGAAACGGGUUAAUAUUCCCGUACUUGGUGUUACUGCGAAGGGGGGACGGAGAAGGCUAUGUUGGCCGGGCGACGGUUGUCCCGGUUUAAGCGUGUAGGUGUGUGUUCCAGGUAAAUCCGGUUCACUUUAACACUGAGGCGUGACGACGAGGCACUACGGUGCUGAAGCAACAAAUGCCCUGCUUCCAGGAAAAGCCUCUAAGCAUCAGGUAACAUCAAAUCGUACCCCAAACCGACACAGGUGGUCAGGUAGAGAAUACCAAGGCGCUUGAGAGAACUCGGGUGAAGGAACUAGGCAAAAUGGUGCCGUAACUUCGGGAGAAGGCACGCUGACACGUAGGUGAAGUGAUUUACUCAUGGAGCUGAAGUCAGUCGAAGAUACCAGCUGGCUGCAACUGUUUAUUAAAAACACAGCACUGUGCAAACACGAAAGUGGACGUAUACGGUGUGACGCCUGCCCGGUGCCGGAAGGUUAAUUGAUGGGGUCAGCGCAAGCGAAGCUCCUGAUCGAAGCCCCGGUAAACGGCGGCCGUAACUAUAACGGUCCUAAGGUAGCGAAAUUCCUUGUCGGGUAAGUUCCGACCUGCACGAAUGGCGUAAUGAUGGCCAGGCUGUCUCCACCCGAGACUCAGUGAAAUUGAACUCGCUGUGAAGAUGCAGUGUACCCGCGGCAAGACGGAAAGACCCCGUGAACCUUUACUAUAGCUUGACACUGAACAUUGAGCCUUGAUGUGUAGGAUAGGUGGGAGGCUUUGAAGUGUGGACGCCAGUCUGCAUGGAGCCGACCUUGAAAUACCACCCUUUAAUGUUUGAUGUUCUAACGUGGACCCGUUACCCGGGUUGCGGACAGUGUCUGGUGGGUAGUUUGACUGGGGCGGUCUCCUCCUAAAGAGUAACGGAGGAGCACGAAGGUUGGCUAAUCCUGG